rnacentral:tRNA from 1 species
GUCACCAUAGUUUAAUAAAACAUUAGAAUGUGGACCUAAAAAUAGAAGUUUAAUUCUUCUUGGUGACC